GUGUGUGUGUGUGUGUGUGUGUAUAUAAUGCAGUGUGUGUUUGUAUAGUGAGCGUAUAUAAUGCACACACACACUGCAUUAUAUACACACACUACACAAACACACUG